AUGCACGCUGGCGGCGUGCCUAAUCCAUGCACGUCGAGCGAACGGACGAGAAGCUUGCUUCUCUGAUGUUAGCGGCGGACGGGUGAGUAACACGUGGAUAACCUACCUAUAAGACUGGGAUAACUUCGGGAAACCGGAGCUAAUACCGGAUAAUAUUUUGAACCGCAUGGUUCAAAAGUGAAAGACGGUCUUGCUGUCACUUAUAGAUGGAUCCGCGCUGCAUUAGCUAGUUGGUAAGGUAACGGCUUACCAAGGCAACGAUGCAUAGCCGACCUGAGAGGGUGAUCGGCCACACUGGAACUGAGACACGGUCCAGACUCCUACGGGAGGCAGCAGUAGGGAAUCUUCCGCAAUGGGCGAAAGCCUGACGGAGCAACGCCGCGUGAGUGAUGAAGGUCUUCGGAUCGUAAAACUCUGUUAUUAGGGAAGAACAUAUGUGUAAGUAACUGUGCACAUCUUGACGGUACCUAAUCAGAAAGCCACGGCUAACUACGUG
rnacentral:rRNA from 1 species